AUUGAACGCUGGCGGCAUGCUUUACACAUGCAAGUCGAACGGCAGCGCGGGGCAACCUGGCGGCGAGUGGCGAACGGGUGAGUAAUACAUCGGAACGUACCCAGAAGUGGGGGAUAACGUAGCGAAAGUUACGCUAAUACCGCAUACGUUCUACGGAAGAAAGUGGGGGACCGCAAGGCCUCAUGCUUUUGGAGCGGCCGAUGUCUGAUUAGCUAGUUGGUGAGGUAAAGGCUCACCAAGGCGACGAUCAGUAGCUGGUCUGAGAGGACGACCAGCCACACGGGGACGGGGACACGGCCCAGACUCGUACGGGAGGCAGCAGGGGGGAAUUUUGGACAAUGGGGGCAACCCUGAUCCAGCAAUGCCGCGUGAGUGAAGAAGGCCUUCGGGUUGUAAAGCUCUUUUGUCAGGGAAGAAAUCGCAGAGGCUAAUAUCCUGUGCGGAUGACGGUACCUGAAGAAUAAGCACCGGCUAACUACGUGCCAGCAGCCGCCGUAACAC
rnacentral:rRNA from 1 species